rnacentral:rRNA from 1 species
CCCUUAGAUGUCCUGGGCCGCACGCGCGUUACACUGAUGCAUUCAACGAGCUUAUAACCUUGGCCGAGAGGCCUGGGUAAUCUUGUUAACGUGCAUCGUGAUAGGGAUAGAUUAUUGAAAUUAUUAAUCUUGAACGAGGAAUUCCUAGUAAACGCAGAUCAUCAAUCUGCAUUGAUUACGUCCCUGCCCUUUGUACACACCGCCCGUCGCACCUACCGAUUGGAUGGUCCGGUGAAGCCUCGGGAUUGUGGUUCUUGCCGCUUUAUUGUAGCGUGACCGCGAGAACUUGUCUAAACCUUAUCAUCUAGAGGAAGGUGAAGUCGUAACA